UACGUAUGGUGCGAGCGUUAUCCGGAUUUACUGGGCGUAAAGGGAGCGCAGGCGGCGCGCCAAGUCUGAUGUGAAACCCCGGGGCUCAACCCCGGGCAUGCAUUGGAAACUGGCGGGCUGGAGUGCCGGAGAGGUAAGCGGAAUUCCUAGUGUAGCGGUGAAAUGCGUAGAUAUUAGGAGGAACACCAGUGGCGAAGGCGGCUUACUGGACGGCAACUGACGCUGAGGCUCGAAAGCGUGGGGAGCAAACAGG
rnacentral:rRNA from 1 species